UGCGAGUGAAGCGGGAAAAGCUCAAAUUUAAAAUCUGGCGGUCUUCGGCCGUCCGAGUUGUAAUCUGGAGAAGCGUCUUCCGCGCUUGGACCGUGUACAAGUCUCUUGGAACAGAGCGUCAUAGAGGGUGAGAAUCCCGUCUUUGACAUGGACUACCAGUGCUUUGUGAUGCGCUCUCGAUGAGUCGAGUUGUUUGGGAAUGCAGCUCAAAAUGGGUGGUAAAUUCCAUCUAAAGCUAAAUAUUGGCGAGAGACCGAUAGCGAACAAGUACCGUGAGGGAAAGAUGAAAAGCACUUUGGAAAGAGAGUUAAACAGUACGUGAAAUUGCUGAAAGGGAAACGCUUGAAGUCAGUCGCGUCUGCUAGAACUCAGCCUUGCUUCUGUGAGGUGCAUUUUCUAGUGAACGGGCCAGCAUCAGUUUCGGCUGCCGGACAAAGGCCUCGGGAAUGUGGCACCUUCGGGUGUGUUAUAGCCCUUGGUCGUAUACGGUGGCUGGGACUGAGGAUCUCAGCACGCCUUCAUGGCGGGGGGUUCGCCCACCUUCGUGCUUAGGAUGCUGAGCGUAAUGGCUUUAAACGACCCGU
rnacentral:rRNA from 1 species